GGGGUCAACUCGGAGGAAGGUGGGAUGACGUCAAAUCAUCAUGCCCCUUAUGUCUUGGGCUUCACGCAUGCUACAAUGGCCGGUACAAAGGGCUGCGAUACCGCGAGGUGGAGCGAAUCCCAGAAAGCCGGUCUCAGUUCGGAUUGGGGUCUGCAACUCGACCCCAUGAAGUCGGAGUCGCUAGUAAUCGCAGAUCAGCAACGCUGCGGUGAAUACGUUCCCGGGCCUU
rnacentral:rRNA from 1 species